GUGGGCGUAGCUCAGCGGUAGAGCUCUGGACUGUGGCUCCAGCUGUCGCGGGUUCAACUCCCGUCGUCCACCCCA
rnacentral:tRNA from 1 species